rnacentral:rRNA from 1 species
GACGUAGGGGGCAAGCGUUGUCCGGAAUCAUUGGGCGUAAAGGGCGCGUAGGCGGCCUGUUAAGUCGAACGUGAAAUCCCCGGCUCAACCCGGGAACUGCGUCCGAAACUGGCAGGCUCGAAUUCGGGAGAGGGAUGCGGAAUUCCAGGUGUAGCGGUGAAAUGCGUAGAUAUCUAGAGGAACAUCGGUGGCGAAGGCGGCAUCCUGGACCGAUAUUGACGCUGAGGCGCGAAAGCCAGGGGAGCAAACGGG